UUUGGCUGAAACAUUCUGUGCAAACAACGAAUUCAGACCAGAAGAUUCAUUUACCACGACUUCAAAAGAAUAUCGAAGAGUUCAGGAUCUCAAUUAUAAAGAUUCAAUAAGUGCACCAUGCUAUGUUAGCUUCUUCUCAAGCUCAAUGCCAACUCCGUUGCACGUGAAAAAAAUUUCAGACUGUUCUUUGAAUUUCAAGGGACAAGUGAAGUUUGGAGCUGUUGAAGGAACUGUUCCAAAAACUUUAAAAGAUAAUAGAUGCUACUUUCAACAUAAUUGGAUUGUUUGUGUUUGUAAUUUCACUUAUUGCAAUUCUCCACAAUAUUGGCCUUUGAUGCUGGCAAGAUUUUCGCACGAAAAACCAUAUGUUGCUCGAACUCCUGCAGCUAUUGCUGACGCUGAAAUGUUCAUUAAUCAGCAUAAGUUGUCAGUCAAAAUCGACAAGGCCACUAACAAUAAUUACGAAGAUAAUUUGCGUUGUUUGGUCUUAAUGUCGGAUGACCUUUAUCAAGAAGAGGAAAAUCCAAAUUUCUACCUUUACAACUACAUCACAGUUUUUCAUAAUGCGCCACCACUUGCUGAUGCUCUGACAACACCACCAGUUCUCAGAAAGAAUGAAGAUUGGGGAAGACGAGAUGAAUGGGUACAUACUGCCAUCAUUACUGAAGAUGGGGAACCAUUCGCAGAUGGAACACAUGUAAUUGAUAAAGGCUACACGACACAUCAAUUUGAAAUUCAACAAGAUCAGGAUAAUGCUAAAUUUGGAAUGAUCAGUGGAAUCAUCGGUUUUAUCAUGCUUGCCGCAUUCCUCGGUGGAACUAUCAUUGUUCUGCUUUUAAUCUGUCGCAGAGUCAAAGAUCAUUCACAAUUUCCGAGAAGAGAUGAGAAAUUAGUUUGGAAUCGAUAUGAACGUUCGAAUGAUGCACCACGACAACCAAAGGAGUUUCUGAAGAAGAGAGGAGGAAAGAAAUCGAAGAAUGACGAUGCAGAAGCAGCCCUUAACAGAAAAUAG
rnacentral:misc_RNA from 1 species